AACGUAGGAGACAAACGUUAUCCGGAGUUACUGGGCGUAAAGGGCGUGUAGGUGGUAUCGUAAGUCUGGCGUGAAAUUUCUCGGCUUAACCGAGGCAGGUCGUCGGAUACUGCGAGGCUAGAGGACGGUAGAGGCGUGUGGAAUUCCGGGUGUAGUGGUGAAAUGCGUAGAGAUCCGGAGGAACACCAGUGGCGAAGGCGACACGCUGGGCCGUACCUGACACUGAUGCGCGACAG
rnacentral:rRNA from 1 species